rnacentral:rRNA from 1 species
GAAAGGGUGAGUAACGCGUGAGCAACCUGCCCUCAAGAUUGGGACAACACCUGGAAACGGGUGCUAAUACCGGAUGUGCUUAUAAUGGUGAUGCUAUAAUAAGUAAAAAUUUAUUGCUUGAGGAUGGGCUCGCGUUCCAUUAGCUAGUUGGUAAGGUAACGGCUUACCAAGGCAACGAUGGAUAGCUGGUCUGAGAGGAUGACCAGCCACACUGGGACUGAGAUACUGCCCAGACUCC